rnacentral:rRNA from 1 species
CAGCAGUAGCCGCGGUAAUACGAAGGGGGCUAGCGUUGUUCGGAUUUACUGGGCGUAAAGGGUGCGUAGGCGGAUUGUUAAGUCAGGGGUGAAAUCCCGAGGCUCAACCUCGGAACUGCCUUUGAUACUGGCGAUCUUGAGUCCGGGAGAGGUGAGUGGAACUGCGAGUGUAGAGGUGAAAUUCGUAGAUAUUCGCAAGAACACCGGUGGCGAAGGCGGCUCACUGGCCCGGAACUGACGCUGAGGCACGAAAGCGUGGGGAGCAAACAGGAUUAGAUACCCGCGUAGUCCCUGUCUCUUAUAU